UACAGGCAGGGAGCGAGAAAGAGAAAGAAAAAAUAGUGGAGAGGGGGAGGAAUUAAAAAAUGGGGGCAGGGAGCCAGACAGAGUGCGACGGGGAGAGACCAAAAUUAGCAAUUCUGGGCAACUGCCCCCAUUUCUUGAGCACUCCCCAGGAAAUGCAUUACCGGGAGCCUCAAGGAAUGUGCUGCCUGCCAAAGCCCUGCCCUGGCCCCAGUCCUGUGCCCUAGUAUUGGUGACGAGCAUUGCCUUGCAUAGUGGCCAGGACUGAGGGAAGAAAAGGACAGCUGGGGGGAAAAAAAUCACCGAGCUGGGUUUUGGUUUUGUUUUGGUUUUUUUUUUCUUGAUGGUUUUGCUUUUAAAAAGAAUAGUAUUUAAGCUCUAAAUACAAACUGCAAGGAAAAAGGAACCAGGCGUACCAGUCUGGACACAUUUAAAGCCUGAACCCAUUCAACAGCUGCACCACCCACCACUCCUGCUGCCCACACUCCACCGCCUGCCUGCAGGCUGGGUUAAAGACUCAUCCAUCAAGUGCUGGCUCAGGACCAUGCCGGGGCAAAUGGCACUGCUUUUCUGGAUCCCAUGGCAGCGAUGGGCAAAGGAACAGGGAGACCCAGUGGAGUCGUAGCGUGCGCUGGAGAGUGUUCUUCAGGAAGGUGACAGCCGAUUGCAGAGCAACGCUGAGACGCACCUGACAGCAAA